AUUGAACGCUGGCGGCAUGCCUUACACAUGCAAGUCGAACGGCAUCGCGGGAAAGCUUGCUUUCCUGGCGGCGAGUGGCGAACGGGUGAGUAACACAUCGGAACGUACCGGCUAGUGGGGGAUAACCCGUCGAAAGACGGGCUAAUACCGCAUACGCUCUUCGGAGGAAAGCAGGGGACCUUUGGGCCUUGCGCUAGUCGAGCGGCCGAUGUCCGAUUAGCUAGUUGGUGGGGUAAAGGCCUACCAAGGCGACGAUCGGUAGCGGGUCUGAGACGACGAUCCGCCACACUGGGACUGAGACACGGCCCAGACUCCUACGGGAGGCAGCAGUGGGGAAUCUUGGACAAUGGGGGCAACCCUGAUCCAGCAAUGCCGCGUGGGUGAAGAAGGCCUUCGGGUUGUAAAGCCCUUUCGGCAGGGAAGAAAUCGGCGGGGCGAAUAACCCUGCUGGAUGACGGUACCUGCAGAAGAAGCACCGGCUAACUACGUG
rnacentral:rRNA from 1 species